rnacentral:rRNA from 1 species
UCACACGGGCACUGAGACACGGGCCCGACUCCUACGGGAGGCAGCAGUAAGGAAUAUUGGUCAAUGGACGAAAGUCUGAACCAGCCAUGCCGCGUGAAGGAUGAAGGUCCUCUGGAUUGUAAACUUCUUUUAUAGGGGACGAAAAAAGGGAAUUCUUUCUCACUUGACGGUACCCUAGGAAUAAGCACCGGCUAACUCCGUGCCAGCAGCCGCGGUAAUACGGAGGGUGCAAGCGUUAUCCGGAUUCACUGGGUUUAAAGGGAGCGUAGGUGGGCAGGUAAGUCAGUGGUGAAAUCUCCGGGCUUAACCCGGAAACUGCCAUUGAUACUAUUUGUCUUGAAUAUUCUGGAGGUAAGCGGAAUAUGUCAUGUAGCGGUGAAAUGCUUAGAUAUGACAUAGAACACCCAUUGCGAAGGCAGCUUACUACGGAACUAUUGACACUGAGGCUCGAAAGCGUGGGGAUCAAACAGGAUUAGAUACCCUGGUAGUCCACGCCCUAAACGAUGGAUACUCGACAUCAGCGAUACACUGUUGGUGUCUGAGCGAAAGCAUUAAGUAUCCCACC